rnacentral:rRNA from 1 species
GACGAACGCUGGCGGCGUGCUUAACACAUGCAAGUCGUACGGUAAGGCCCUUUCGGGGGUACACGAGUGGCGAACGGGUGAGUAACACGUGAGUAACCUGCCCACAACUUUGGGAUAACGCUAGGAAACUGGUGCUAAUACUGGAUAUGUGCUCCUGCUGCAUGGUGGGGGUUGGAAAGCUCCGGCGGUUGUGGAUGGACUCGCGGCCUAUCAGCUUGUUGGUGGGGUAGUGGCCUACCAAGGCGGCGACGGGUAGCCGGCCUGAGAGGGUGACCGGCCACAUUGGGACUGAGAUACGGACCAGACUCCUACGGGAGGCAGCAGUGGGGAAUAUUGCACAAUGGGCGCAAGCCGGAUGCAGCAACGCCGCGUGCGGGAUGACGGCCUUCGGGUUGUAAACCGCUUUCAGCAGGGACGAAGCUUUUUGUGACGGUACCUGCAGAAGAAGCACCGGCUAACUACGUG